GUUUAUGUAAUUUAAUGAAAAUAUUAUAUUUUCAAUAUAAUUUUAAUGGAAACAUUCAUAAAUU